rnacentral:rRNA from 1 species
AACGAACGCUGGCGGCAGGCUUAACACAUGCAAGUCGAGCGCCCCGCAAGGGGAGCGGCAGACGGGUGAGUAACGCGUGGGAAUCUACCGUGCCCUACGGAAUAGCUCCGGGAAACUGGAAUUAAUACCGUAUACGCCCUACGGGGGAAAGAUUUAUCGGGGUAUGAUGAGCCCGCGUUGGAUUAGCUAGUUGGUGGGGUAAAGGCCUACCAAGGCGACGAUCCAUAGCUGGUCUGAGAGGAUGAUCAGCCACAUUGGGACUGAGACACGGCCCAAACUCCUACGGGAGGCAGCAGUGGGGAAUAUUGGACAAUGGGCGCAAGCCUGAUCCAGCCAUGCCGCGUGAGUGAUGAAGGUCUUAGGAUUGUAAAGCUCUUUCACCGAGGAAGAUAAUGACGGUAGUCGGAGAAGAAGCCCCGGCUAACUUCGUGCCAGCCGCCGCCGUAAUAG